CAACUUCCACCUGGCAUACCUCUUCAAUUAUGCGUGAAGGGUUCUAUCUCCUUGAGCGUAUUGUGGGUUUCCUGUGUUGAAUACCAAUUUGAUGGGUAUUAUUUUGGCUAAUUGAAGUCCCUUUUCAUCUUUGGUUGCCUUUGUAAUUCAAGAUGAACCAUGAAGUGUUCUUUAUGUUCCACURUGUUGAUGCAAAUGCAUUGAUGUUGUGGCCCAUUGAGCGMUACUAGGUGUCCUGGAUAUGGAACAUUAUGUGGGCAUGGGGUCUUUCAUGGCUUUUGUUUUGUCCUUGUUUGGUGUUCUUCGAAAUGACAGUUCAUGCGUGCCUAGGCUCGUACCUGCACGAUGAUCUUUGUCAAAAUGGAAUGCUACCUGGUUGAUCCUGCCAGU
rnacentral:misc_RNA from 1 species